rnacentral:rRNA from 1 species
CAUAGGCUCUUUUUAAAGAUUUAAGCCAUGCAUGUGCCAAGUUCAAACUUAGACAAAGUGAGACUGCGGACGGCUCAGUAUAUCAGUUAUAAUCUGCUCGAUUGUUGAGGUUAGUGGAUAACCGUGGGAAAUCUAGAGCUAAUACAUGCACCGCGGAGAGUUUCGGCUGUCCUGGCAUUUAUUAGAGCGAUACCAACCGUGUGAGCAAUCACACGAGGCGAAUCUAGAUAACUGUGCAGAUCGUAUGGCCUUGAGCUGACGACAUUUCGAUUGAGUUUCUGCCCUAUCAACCAGUCGCAAGCGUAAGGUACUUGCGAAGUGAUAACGGGUAACGGGGGAUCAGGGUUCGAUUCCGGAGAGGGAGCCUGAGAAACGGCUACCACAUCCAAGGAAGGCAGCAGGCGCGCAAAUUACCCAAUCCAGACAGUGGGAGGUGGUGACGAAAAGUACCGAGUGGCGACAAUGUCGCCAGCUUGGAAUGAAUGCAAUUUAAGCAAUUGAAUUGAGUAACGACUGGAGGGCAAGUCUGGUGCCAGCAGCCGCGGUAAUUCCAGCUCCAGUAGCCUAUCUCAAAGUUGCUGCGCUUAAAACGCUCGUAGUUGGAUCACGCACUGCGCGUUGGUGUGCUGCCUGGUGCGGCGCGGCCGGAUUUGCAGUCCGGGGCGUCGAAGUCACGGUGGCUAUGAGCCGACGCGCAGUAAUUGCACGUGAGGAUGGCAGUUGGCCUUGAGUGCGUCGACGGUCGUGUCUCACGGGGUGUGCCUUGAGUAAAUCAGAGUGCUCAAAGCAGGCGAAUGCCUGAAUGUUGAUAGCAUGGAACGAACAAUCGUGUAGGGUGUGCGCUGAGCCCGGUGCGUCGUUGGACCGCCGCAGCGCACGACACCGACCACCAAUAACGGAUGUUGGUUCCGUAUUGGGGUACCGAUUAAGAGGAGCGGUUGGGGGCAUUGGUAUUUGGCAGCGAGAGGUGAAAUUCUUGGACCUGCCAAGGACUAACAAAUGCGAAGGCAUCUGUCCAGACCGUAUCCAUUAAUCAAGAACGAAAGUGAGAGGUUCGAAAGCGAUCAAAUACCGCCCUAGUUCUCACUGUAAACGAUGCCGACCCGGGAUCAGUUUGGAGCCAUUUUCCACGCUCGAGGUUGGUCCCCCUGGGAAACCUGAAGUUUUUCGGUUGCGGGGGGAGUAUGGUCGCAAGGCUGAAACUUAAAGGAAUUGACGGAAGGGCACCACCAGGGGUGGAGCCUGCGGCUUAAUUUGACUCAACACGGGGAAACUUACCUGGUCCGGACAUCAAAAGGAUAGACAGACUAAAAGAUCUUUCUUGAUAUGGUGAUUGGUGGUGCAUGGCCGUUCUUAGUUCGUGAAGUGAUUUGUCAGGUUGAUUCCGGUAACGAACGAGAUCACAUUCUCCAGUUGAGGAGCCAGGGAAGGCGUUGGUUGGGCGCUGGUUGGCAACAGCCAGCGUCUCUUGCAGCGUUGCAGGCGGGGGUUGUGGGUUUCGGCGGUGGCGCGUGUAACAGCGCGUCGCUGCUGCCAUCUGUGGCACUCCCCCUGGCCAUACAGUGCGGUGCCCCUCGGGGUGACGUGCUGUGUCAUGGAGAGACAACGGAACAUAACAAAAUCCGAGGAAGUGUGGCUAUAACAGGUCUGUGAUGCCCUUAGAUGUUCAGGGCUGCACGCGCGCUACAAUGACGAUGACAACGAGUUUCUGGAUCGGCAGAUUCGGGUAAUCUUGCAAUCAUCGUCGUGAUGGGGACUGAUGUUUGUAACGACAUCACGAAAGAGGAAUCCCUAGUACACGUAGUUCAUGAAACUGCGUGGAUUUAGUCCCUGCCCUUUGUACACACCGCCCGUCGCUACUACCGAGUGAAUGGUGUCAUAAUGCCUUGGGAGCGGAUUCGCUGCUGCACCUCGGUGCGCGGCGAGCUGCGAUCAGCGUAGAAUGGCGCGA